GGCUAGGUGUCAUCAUGACUAG
rnacentral:siRNA from 1 species